CACCCUCCGGGGACUCCUAACAGAAAACAAAGCUUCCUCUCUCUCUCUUUUGUCUUCUUCUUCUCCAAGUCUCUCUUCUUUCGAUUUUGAAUUUCUCUACAAACAAAUGGCGAUUACAUCUUCUAGAACCAGAUCUACCGGGCCGGUGCUUCGCUCCGUGUCGCCAUCAGGCCGUUUCUGUGGUGUGUAUUCGAACGGUGUGUCGUCUCCGUCGUCUUCAGGUUUCGCUUCGUCCACAAGCUCCAGCUUCUCGUCGCCGUCUUCAGCUUUUUUCAGCAACCACCAUCAACAGCACCACAGAUCCGCAUCUCCGACGCGCGUGAACCUAUUCAAAUCGGCGCCGUUGACGCAGUCGUUUCGUUAUUCGAUCGAUAACAGAUCUAUAUCGCCGAAUCGAUCCAUCGCUGUUUCGAAG
rnacentral:lncRNA from 1 species